UCAAAUUUAUUUUUCCAUAGGUUAUUGGUGUACAGGUUAUAUUUGGUUACAUAAGUUCUUUAGUGGUGCUCUUUGUAAGAUUUUGGUAUACUGUACCCUAUUUGUAGUUUUUUGUCCCUCAGCCCCCUCUCACCCUUUCCUCCAAGUCCCCAAAGACCAUUGUAUCAUUCUUAUGCUUUUGUGUCUUCAUAGCUUAGCUCCCACAUAUUAGUGAAAACAUACGGUGUUUGAUUUUCCAUUCCUGAGUUACUUCGCUUUGUAUAAUGGUCUGCAGCCAGGUGCAGUGGC